rnacentral:tRNA from 1 species
GGAGGAGUCGCAUAGUUGGUCUAGUGCGGCCGCCUGCUAAGCGGUUACCGGGAGUAUUCCUCUCGGUCGUGGGUUCGAAUCCCACCUCCUCCGCCA